GAUGAACGCUGGCGGCGUGCCUAAUACAUGCAAGUCGAGCGAACAGACGAGGAGCUUGCUCCUCUGACGUUAGCGGCGGACGGGUGAGUAACACGUGGAUAACCUACCUAUCAGACUGGGAUAUCUUCGGGAAACCGGAGCUAAUACCGGAUAAUAUAUUGAACCGCAUGGUUCAAUAGUGAAAGACGGUUUUGCUGUCACUUAUAGAUGGAUCCGCGCCGCAUUAGCUAGUUGGUAAGGUAACGGCUUACCAAGGCAACGAUGCGUAGCCGACCUGCGAGGGUGAUCGGCCACACUGGAACUGAGACACGGUCCAGACGCCUACGGGAGGCAGCAGUAGGGAAUCUUCCGCAGUGGGCGAAAGCCUGACGGAGCAACGCCGCGUGAGUGAUGAAGGUCUUCGGAUCGUAAAACUCUGUUAUUAGGGAAGAACAAAUGUGUAAGUAACUAUGCACGUCUUGACGGUACCUAAUCAGAAAGCCACGGCUAACUACGUG
rnacentral:rRNA from 1 species